rnacentral:rRNA from 1 species
AUUACCUCAGUAACGGCGAGUGAAGCGGUAACAGCUCAAAUUUGAAAUCUGGGUCCUUUGGGCUCCGAGUUGUAAUUUGUAGAAGAUGCUUCGGGUGCGGCACCGGUCUAAGUUCCUUGGAACAGGACGUCAUAGAGGGUGAGAAUCCCGUAUGUGAUUGGCUGCCUGCGCCCGUGUGAAGCUCUUUCGACGAGUCGAGUUGUUUGGGAAUGCAGCUCAAAAUGGGUGGUAAAUUUCAUCUAAAGCUAAAUAUUGGCCAGAGACCGAUAGCGCACAAGUAGAGUGAUCGAAAGAUGAAAAGCACUUUGGAAAGAGAGUUAAACAGUACGUGAAAUUGUUGAAAGGGAAGCGCUUGCGACCAGACUUGCGCGUUGUUGAUCAUCCGGGGUUCUCCCCGGUGCACUCGACCUCGCUCAGGCCAGCAUCGGUUUCGGUGGCUGGAUAAAGGCCUUGGGAAUGUAGCUUCUUUCGGGGAGUGUUAUAGCCCUCGGUGCAAUGCAGCCUACCGGGACCGAGGACCGCGCUUCGGCUAGGAUGCUGGCGUAAUGGUCGUAAGCGACCCGUCUUGAAACACGGACCAAGGAGUCUAACAUCUAUGCGAGUGUUUGGGUGUCAAACCCAUACGCGGAAUGAAAGUGAACGGAGGUGAGAACCCUCAAGGGUGCAUCACCGACCGGUCCUGAUGUCUUCGGAUGGAUCUGAGUAAGAGCAUAGCUGUUGGGACCCGAAAGAUGGUGAACUAUGCCUGAAUAGGGUGAAGCCAGAGGAAACUCUGGUGGAGGCUCGCAGCGGUUCUGACGUGCAAAUCGAUCGUCAAAUUUGGGUAUAGGGGCGAAAGACUAAUCGAACCAUCCGGAUGGCAUAUGUAGAUUAAUUGUUGAUAAAACGUUCGUUUUUUUUA